rnacentral:tRNA from 1 species
GAGGGUGUAGCUCAAGUGAUAGAGCACAUGCUUAGCAUGCACCAGGUCUUGGGUUCAAUUCCCAAUACCUCCU